rnacentral:rRNA from 1 species
UACGGAGGGUGCAAGCGUUUAUCCGGAUUCACUGGGUUUAAAGGGUGCGUAGGCGGGUAUAUAAGUCAGUGGUGAAAGCUCCGAGCUUAACUUGGAAACUGCCAUUGAUACUGUAUAUCUUGAAUGUCGUUGAGGUAAGCGGAAUGUUGCAUGUAGCGGUGAAAUGCUUAGAUAUGUUACAGAACACCAAUUGUGAAGACAGCUUACUAAGCGAUAAUUGACGCUGAGGCACGAAAGCGUGGGGAGCAAACAGG